GUCGGGGGUUCGAGCCCCUCCGGUCGAGCCAUUCAUGGAGGGAGAUCUUCUCUUCUGGUUGGCCGGCCGGGGCUCCCCUGGGGGAGCGCGUGAUGUUGGAGCAUGAGGUCGUCGGUUCGAUCCCGUCUGGCUCCACCAGAUGGUUUGAUCACCGAGAUCUUGACCGUCGUCCGCGAAACAUCACUUCGCAUCCUGCUAGUCUGGAUAGACAGCAGUUUGCGUGUUUUCUGACAUCGUAAAGAGGAGAUCGAUCCGAGUUGGGUCGUGCAGCAUAUCGUUGCGCGAGCCUUCAUUAUCUCCGGAUCAUUUCGGCGCUCGCUUCCAGCCGUGAGGUUGGAUGCGGGUUGUAAAUGAUCCUUUUAGCGAAGCUUGACCGCCUCGCUAUCGGAACGAUCUUACGAAGCAAGCUGGUCUUUCUAGUCAAUGUCCGGCUGCGGAUAGCGUUCAUCGAGGGCGCGUGCCGCAAGGCAAUUCUGCAGACAACAUUCUGCCGAGUGUGUGGACAUUGAUAAUGAGAGCAAUCAAGUGCCUUAAGGGUGUUCGGUGGAUGCCUUGGCGCUGAGAGGCGAUGAAGGACGUGCUACGCUGCGAUAAGCCGUGGGGAGCUGCGAAGAAGCUUUGAUCCGCGGAUUUCCGAAUGGGGAAAACCCGGAA
rnacentral:misc_RNA from 1 species